UGGGGAAUUUUCCGCAAUGGGCGAAAGCCUGACGGAGCGACACCGCGUGUAGGAUGAAGGCCUUCGGGUUGUAAACUACUGUCACGUUCUAGGAACUGCUCGGCGUGAAUAGCGCCGAGCUCGACCAAGACGGGAGGAAGCACCGGCUAACUCUGUGCCAGCAGCCGCGGUAAGACAGAGGGUGCAAACGUUGUUCGGAAUUACUGGGCAUAAAGCGCACGUAGGUGGUUCGUUAAGUCGCGUGUGAAAUCCCCCGGCUCAACCGGGGAAUUGCGCGCGAUACUGGCGGGUUUGAGAUCGGGAGGGGUGAGCGGAACUCCAGGUGGAGCGGUGAAAUGCGUAGAUAUCUGGAGGAACACCGGUGGCGAAAGCGGCUCACUGGCCCGACACUGACGCUGAGGUGCGAAAGCUAGGGUAGCAAAAGGGAUUAGAUACCCCUGUAGU
rnacentral:rRNA from 1 species